rnacentral:lncRNA from 1 species
UAAAGCAAUAAGAAGAAAAUAAAAAAUAUACAAAAGACAAAAAUAAACUAAAAAUUGGGGGUGUUGUUAAAAAAAUGCUCCAAACCCAAAGGAGGCGGAACUCACAUGGGUAUGUUGAGCAAUUAAGGGGUGUGGAUAUAAUUCAUCUUACCCAACCCUAUAUUUGAUUACUAUUCAUGUAGCAACAAAAAUGGAAGAAAAUGAGUUCCAACAAAAACUUAAAAACACCAUAAUUUUC